rnacentral:rRNA from 1 species
CUGGCGACCGGCGCACGGGUGAGUAACACGUAUCCAACCUACCUCAUACUCGGGGAUAGCCUCUCGAAAGAAAGAUUAAUAUCCGAUAGCAUAUAUUUCCCGCAUGGGUUUUAUAUUAAAGAAAUUCGGUAUGAGAUGGGGAUGCGUUCCAUUAGUUUGUUGGGGGGGUAACGGCCCACCAAGACUACGAUGGAUAGGGGUUCUGAGAGGAAGGUCCCCCACAUUGGAACUGAGACACGGUCCAAACUCCUACGGGAGGCAGCAGUGAGGAAUAUUGGUCAAUGGACGCGAGUCUGAACCAGCCAAGUAGCGUGAAGGAUGACUGCCCUAUGGGUUGUAAACUUCUUUUAUAUGGGAAUAAAGUGGUCCACGUGUGGACUUUUGUAUGUACCAUAUGAAUAAGGAUCGGCUAACUCCGUGCCAGCAGCCGCGGUAAUACGGAGGAUCCGAGCGUUAUCCGGAUUUAUUGGGUUUAAAGGGAGCGUAGGCGGAUUGUUAAGUCAGUUGUGAAAGUUUGCGGCUCAACCGUAAAAUUGCAGUUGAUACUGGCAGUCUUGAGUGCAGUAGAGGUGGGCGGAAUUCGUGGCGUAGCGGUGAAAUGCUUAGAUAUCACGAAGAACUCCGAUUGCGAAGGCAGC